rnacentral:rRNA from 1 species
AAAACGCCAAAAAAUUACGAGCGAAAGCUUAAAACUUAAAGGACUUGACGGUGUCUAUCUACCUAGAGGAGCCUGUUCUAUAAUUGAUGAUCCUCGUUAUACCUCACCCCUCUUGGCUUAUCAGUCUGUAUACUUCCGUCGUAAGCUUACCAUCUGAAUGUAUUAGUAGGCUAAACAGACAAAACGUCAGGUCAAAGUGCAGCCUACAAAAAGGGAAGAAAUGGGCUACGUUUCUAUUCAAGAACAAACGAAGCAUCUCAAAAUGCUAUGAAGGUGGAUUUAGAAGUAAAGUGAAAAUAGAGUGUUCACUUUAACAACGCUCUGGGACGUGUACACACCGCCCGUCACCCU